UACGGAGGGUGCGAGCGUUGUCCGGAAUCACUGGGCGUAAAGGGCGCGUAGGUGGCCUGCUAAGCGUGCGGUGAAAGCUCGGGGCUCAACCCCGAGUCGGCCGUGCGAACUGGUGGCUUGAGCACUGUAGAGGCAGGCGGAAUUCCGGGUGUAGCGGUGGAAUGCGUAGAGAUCCGGAAGAACACCGGUGGCGAAGGCGGCAUCCUGGACUGGUCCUGACGCUCGAGGAGCGAA
rnacentral:rRNA from 1 species